AGCUCCUUGUCCAGACAGAAGACCGGCUCUCUCUUGGGCAGGAUAAAGGCCAGAGGCUCCUGGACGACGCUGACGUUCACGUGCCCCAGGUUUCCGUACUUGGAGAGCUGAGUGGGUGGAAUGCCUGAUCCAGAAGGUCUGUGUGAUCUGAGCUGGAGGAAAGAGGACUUGGAGACAGCGAUUUAAAUAAGGAACAAGGUCUUCCAGGAAGACAGUGCAGAACUGGACAAAGAGCUCUUGCUCCCCACUGCUGAAGGCAGCCUCUUCUGCACGAUGGAAGGCCAGGAUUACUUUAGUUACCUAGGAGAAAAGGGCACCACCAAUUACCUGUUAAUCUAUCCCCAUCAGCAGUGACAAAGAUGUGCAGCCCUCAAGUUUUCUGAAAGAACACUCCUUCCAAACAGUACAUCAUUAUCUUGUAUUUCACAACUGUGGUCAGUCUUCACAAUUCUGUCACUUCAAUGAUGUAUUCCUUACUCAACUAGUUUCAUUAUUGGCGCAGUUUCCAAUUCCAGUGCAGGAACAUCAUGAAAUACACAGAAUACAACAUUUUUGGCUCCAAUGGGAGAUGGACUAGAACUCUGAUGGAUCCAGGAAAAUACCAGCAAUACCAUGAAAGGUUUUACUGAGUAAGGCCUCUGAAGUUCCAAAAUGCUAGAACCACUAGAAAAUUGUAAAGGAGCAGGAAAACAGAGCUGGAAAAGAACAUACAUUAUUUCCACAUACAAAGAACAUUCAUUAUUUCCACAUACAAAUAACAGAGCAAGCCUAGCUAACAUUACAGAGAGGUGUCAUGGUGACAGGGUUAAGAACAGACACUCUGGGAAACUGCCUGGUGCUUCAGUGGUUAGAAAUCUGUGCUUUCACUGCCAAGGGCCUGGGUUCAAUCCCUGGUCACAAGCUGCAAUGUCCCGCCAAACAAACAAGUAAAUAACAAAGAGCCUCUGGUGCUAGAUGUUCUGGGCUCUAGUUCCAGCUGUGCACUCAGUGCUUCUGUGGAGGUAAGCUCUAGAUGGGUACUAGCUAAUUCUAUUAUCUGAAUUUCACUGACCCUAAAAAGCCUCACUGCUCAUGCUUUCUUGCUGUUUUCAACAGAAAGACUCAAUGCAAGCAUGUCACAACUGCCACCUGGUUGACAGGGAUUAUAGGAUGCCAUCAACUGUAAGAAGCACCUCAACAUCUAAAGAUGUAAUGUUUAAAAACGUGCACCAUACUCAGAAAUUAGUAGGAUCAGUAGUGUUACUUAUAUUAGAUGGAAUUCUAAGACGGCUCUUGUGAUCCCCACCUCCUGGUACCCACUCCUUUGUGUUUUCUCCUCCUCCUUGAGCGCAGGCAGAACCAAUAGGAUAUGGCAAAGGUGAAGGAUUCUGCAGUUUUCAUUAACAUCCCAAAUCGGCUGACUGUGAAUUAAUGAAAAAGGAAGUUAUCCUGGGUGGGCCUGACUUAAUUAGAUGAACCUCUUAAAAAGAGGGCUGAGGAAGAGACUUUGAGCAGGAGAGAUGCGCUCCCACUGGCCCUGAAGAAUCAAAAACUGUGAACUGCUCAUGGAGUGGGGUGGUCUCCAGGAGUUGAGGGCCUCAGUCCUACAACUGUAAGGAACAGGAAUAUGCCACUGUGAAUGAACCUGAAAGGAGGGGAUCCCGAGCCCCAGAGGAGUCCACAGUCGGGCCAACACCUCGAUUACAACCUCGUGAGCAGAAGCUCAACCCAGUUAUACUGUGCCUGGACUCCUGACCCAAAGAAACUGAGACAUGAUAAAUAUGUGUUGUUUUAA